UCCGAAUUGGUGUAGUGGCUAACAUUACACGCUCUCAUUCUCCGAUCCAGGAAAAUAGCACCGUGUAGCCCGGGGUUCGAUUCCCCGAUUCGGAG